AGGGCGCACGGUGGAUGCCUUGGCACUAGGAGCCGAUGAAGGACGGGACUAACACCGAUAUGCUUUGGGGAGCUGUAAGUAAGCUAUGAUCCAGAGAUUUCCGAAUGGGGGAACCCAAUAUCUUUUAUAGGAUAUUACUUUUCAGUGAAUACAUAGCUGAUUAGAGGUAGACGCAGAGAACUGAAACAUCUUAGUACCUGCAGGAAGAGAAAGAAAAUUCGAUUCCCUGAGUAGCGGCGAGCGAAACGGGAAGAGCCCAAACCAACAAGCUUGCUUGUUGGGGUUGUAGGACUCCAAUAUGGUAGUCUGUUAGUAUAGUUGAAGGAUUUGGAAAAUUCCGCUAAAGAGGGUGAAAGCCCCGUAGACGAAAUGCUGACAACACCUAGGAGGAUCCUGAGUACGGCGGAACACGAGAAAUUCCGUCGGAAUCCGCGGGGACCAUCCCGCAAGGCUAAAUACUCCCUAGUGACCGAUAGUGAACCAGUACCGUGAGGGAAAGGUGAAAAGCACCCCGGAAGGGGAGUGAAAUAGAUCCUGAAACCGUGUGCCUACAACAAGUCAAAGCUCGUUAAUGAGUGAUGGCGUGCCUUUUGUAGAAUGAACCGGCGAGUUACGAUUGCAUGCGAGGUUAAGUCGAAGAGACGGAGCCGCAGCGAAAGCGAGUCUGAAUAGGGCGAAUGAGUAUGUAGUCGUAGACCCGAAACCAUGUGAUCUACCCAUGUCCAGGUUGAAGGUGCGGUAAAACGCACUGGAGGACCGAACCCACGUACGUUGAAAAGUGCGGGGAUGAGGUGUGGGUAGCGGAGAAAUUCCAAACGAACUUGGAGAUAGCUGGUUCUCUCCGAAAUAGCUUUAGGGCUAGCCUCGGAAUUGAGAAUGAUGGAGGUAGAGCACUGUUUGGACUAGGGGCCCAUCUCGGGUUACCGAAUUCAGAUAAACUCCGAAUGCCAUUCAUUUAUAUCCGGGAGUCAGACUGCGAGUGAUAAGAUCCGUAGUCGAAAGGGAAACAGCCCAGACCACCAGCUAAGGUCCCAAAAUAUAUGUUAAGUGGAAAAGGAUGUGGGGUUGCACAGACAACUAGGAUGUUGGCUUAGAAGCAGCCACCAUUUAAAGAGUGCGUAAUAGCUCACUAGUCGAGUGACCCUGCGCCGAAAAUGUACCGGGGCUAAACAUAUUACCGAAGCUGUGGACUACACCAUUAGGUGUAGUGGUAGGAGAGCGUUCUAAGGGCGUUGAAGGUCGAUCGUGAGGACGGCUGGAGCGCUUAGAAGUGAGAAUGCCGGUAUGAGUAGCGAAAGACAGGUGAGAAUCCUGUCCACCGUAUGACUAAGGUUUCCUGGGGAAGGCUCGUCCGCCCAGGGUUAGUCGGGACCUAAGCCGAGGCCGAUAGGCGUAGGCGAUGGACAACAGGUUGAUAUUCCUGUACCAGUUGUUUUUGUUUGAGCAAUGGAGGGACGCAGUAGGCUAAGGAAUGCAUGCGAUUGGAAGUGCAUGUCCAAGCAAUGAGUCUUGAGUAGAGUUAAAUGCUUUACUCUCUAAGGACAAGUUGUGACGGGGAGCGAAAUAAUAGUAGCGAAGUUCCUGAUGUCACACUGCCAAGAAAAGCUUCUAGUGAGAAAACAACUGCCCGUACCGUAAACCGACACAGGUAGUCGAGGAGAGUAUCCUAAGGUGAGCGAGCGAACUCUCGUUAAGGAACUCGGCAAAAUGACCCCGUAACUUCGGGAGAAGGGGUGCUGAUGGUAAAAGAUCAGCCGCAGUGAAUAGGCCCAAACAACUGUUUAUCAAAAACACAGGUAUCUGCAAAAUCGUAAGAUGACGUAUAGGUGCUGACACCUGCCCGGUGCUGGAAGGUUAAGAGGAGAGCUUAGCGCAAGCGAAGGUUUGAAUUGAAGCCCCAGUAAACGGCGGCCGUAACUAUAACGGUCCUAAGGUAGCGAAAUUCCUUGUCGGGUAAGUUCCGACCCGCACGAAAGGCGUAACGAUUUGGGCACUGUCUCAACGAGAGACUCGGUGAAAUUUUAGUACCUGUGAAGAUGCAGGUUACCCGCGACAGGACGGAAAGACCCCAUGGAGCUUUACUGUAGUUUGAUAUUGAGUGUUUGUACCACAUGUACAGGAUAGGUAGGAGCCGAUGAGACCGGAACGCUAGUUUCGGAGGAGGCGCUGGUGGGAUACUACCCUUGUGUUAUGAACCCUCUAACCCGCACCACUAAUCGUGGUGGGAGACAGUGUCAGAUGGGCAGUUUGACUGGGGCGGUCGCCUCCUAAAAGGUAACGGAGGCGCCCAAAGGUUCCCUCAGAAUGGUUGGAAAUCAUUCGAAGAGUGUAAAGGCAGAAGGGAGCUUGACUGCGAGACCUACAAGUCGAGCAGGGACGAAAGUCGGGCUUAGUGAUCCGGUGGUUCCGCAUGGAAGGGCCAUCGCUCAACGGAUAAAAGCUACCCUGGGGAUAACAGGCUUAUCUCCCCCAAGAGUCCACAUCGACGGGGAGGUUUGGCACCUCGAUGUCGGCUCGUCGCAUCCUGGGGCUGAAGUAGGUCCCAAGGGUUGGGCUGUUCGCCCAUUAAAGCGGCACGCGAGCUGGGUUCAGAACGUCGUGAGACAGUUCGGUCCCUAUCCGUCGCGGGCGUAGGAAAUUUGAGAGGAGCUGUCCUUAGUACGAGAGGACCGGGAUGGACUUACCGCUGGUGUACCAGUUGUUCUGCCAAGGGCAUUGCUGGGUAGCUAUGUAGGGAAGGGAUAAACGCUGAAAGCAUCUAAGUGUGAAGCCCACCUCAAGAUGAGAUUUCCCAUUUCU
rnacentral:rRNA from 1 species